CAACCGCGCCCCCCGCGCACGGACCCCCAUUACACUCGCGUCCCAGGCAGGGUAGACCCGGACGAGCCACGGGGCGGCGCAGAGCCCCACUCACAGGGCGGCCGGGACCCACGGGCGUGGGUCCACGCAGCAACCUAUAGGUGACAAAGCACUCAGGAAGCCGUCAUGCGGGGCCGAGAAAGAGCCCCCACCCAGAGUCACGGACCCCCUCGUCCGAGGGUCCGCGCAGUCCCCUCGGUGAGUCGGACGAAGCAGUCUCGCUACGGGGAACGGCGGGGAGGGCGGCGGAGUCUCCCACUCUUGGUGACCCGGACCCCGCCCCACGAGUGGGUCUUCGCAGGGCCCCCUCUGACGCACACGGGGACCAGCCACGCCGCGGGGGCACCGGGCAGGAGCCAGCGCCCGGGUCCAUGCAGUCCCCUCCGGGCAGACGCGGGGAGCUGGGGAGCAGUGGGGACUGGCCCCCACCCGCAGGACGACCGGGACCCCCGCGCGGGCCCACACGGCGUCGCAGCAGGCGCGGAGCCCCCGGUGCCACCCGAGGCCGAGACAAAGCCCAGGCGCACGGACCCCGGACCCCGACCCCGGACCCUGCGGAGCCCCGCUCGGAGCCGCCACGCCCGGGGCAGAGACCCCCGCCCGGUCCGGAGACCCUGCCGCCAGUCGCGCCGUCUCACCUCAGGGCGCCGUCUCACCUCAGGCCGCCGCCUCACAGCGCUCGCUCCUCGCCGCGGCGCCUGGGCCGACUGGAGCGCAGCUGAACAGCCGACAGAGCCGCGGCCGCCUCAACAAUGGAGCCCCGGGGCGGGGCUGCCGCCGCCGCCUCAGCCCGUGUCCCCCGCUCGGGAUCCGGCUCGGCUCGCGGAGCUGCAGCCGGCGUGGGGCUGCGGCCGGGACAAACACCGCGCAGGCGCACACGACCCCGCCCGCCGCCCGCCGCCCGCCGUCCCGCCCCCAGCAGAGCCGGGCGCCCAGGGCCCGCCCCCCGGCCAAUGGGGAGCGAGCUGCGCGGAGUGGGCGGGGCCUGGGGGAACAAAGGGAGGUUGGGCGGGGCGGCUCUGGGACUGGGCUUGCGGGGUCCCGCGGGAGAACCCGACUCAAGAGUCGGCCGAAUCCUCGCCUCUUGGAAUACCCAGCUCAACGUCUACUUGGAGUCGGCUCUACAGGACGCGCUCAUCUCAAACCCAGAGCUCAGGCUUUUAGGGCAGAGAGCGAGAGACAGGCUUGCUUUACAGAAAGGGAAACUGAGGUCCAAGGAAUAGGAUUGCCUGCCACCCGAAGAAACGUAAUCCCAUUCACUCGUUCAUCUUGUAGUCGUUCAGCAAACAUUUGGAAGCACGU
rnacentral:lncRNA from 1 species